ensembl:lncRNA MIR4300HG MIR4300 host gene
GGGCAACCAUAGAAAAGGAUUGAUGUAAGUGUCCACUGUCCCUGCUUGUAACCCUGGACUUCAGAGUGAUGUUGGAGGAAAACUGGGAACCUCUACAGACUUGAGCUGCUACAAAGCCUUGGUUUCCUUUCUCAGCUCCUGGCUUGCAGUUAGUUGUGUCCAUGUGACUGAGUCUUUUUUUUUUGUUUUGAGAUGGAGUCUCACUCUUGUCGCCCAGGCUGGCGUGCAGUGCCAUGAUCUCGGCUCACUACAACCUCCAUCUCCCAGCUUCCAGCGAUUCUCCUGCUUCAGCCUCCUGAGUAGCUGGGAUUAGAGGCACCCCCAACCAUGCCUGGCUAAUUUUUGUAUUUUUAGUAGAGACAGGGUUUCACCGCGUUGGCCAGGCUGGUCUCAAACUCCUGACCUCAAGUGAUCCUCCCGCCUCUGCCUCCCAAAGUGCUGAGAUUACCAUGCCCGGCCUGUGACUGAGUCUUAGGUGAUGGAAUGUGAGCGGAAGUGAUACACAUCACUUGUGAGUCUGGUCCAUAGAACUCUCUACAUAGAAAUCUCCAAGUCAUUUGUCCUUUUGUGGUGUGAUGCAGAUGAGCAUGGCAGUUUUGGGAUUCAUGUGUUGAAGAUGGAAUCACAAGAUGCAAUGAAUCUGGGUCUUCAAGUCACCACUUGGAGGAGAGCUACCUGUCCAUGAAGAACACCUCUUUUGGACUUUCCAUAGCAAGAAGUUGGAACUUCAGUGCAGAGGGUUGAAGUAAUCAUAUUCUUCAGUUGAAGAGACUAAAACAACUUUACCAGAUUGAAACACUCAAGACAAAGGAGCCCAGGAACAAAAUUCAUCAGAAAACUAGAGGAAGUUUUCAUGGAGUUGCUGUGAGUUAGAAACUUUUAAUGAAUCCGGUUGUAUUGUUUACCAAGUUAAGAUCCUCUCAGAUGUCAGGAGAUAGAUGUGUAGAUGUCAGCUUAUAAAAUACAGCUCUGGUGUGAUAGCAGAAAUAUAAGAGGCUUGAAUCCCUCCAUGCCAAGAGAUAAUGAAGGAGGCCUGAGAUAAGUUGGAAGAAAAACUGGCUACCAAGAGGGAUAGCAUUUUUUUUUUGUUGUUAAAUCAAAUAUUUAUGAGACUGGGCUUUGAUUUCCCCAUGGUUUAACAAUUCAAGGGAAAGAUAAUUUUUGAGAGAUACUUAAGGUGUUGGAGUAAUUCAGGUAACUGUACCUAGUAUGAAAAUAAUCACUAGAAUUUCGAAUGCAUACAAAUUGUGAUGGGAGUAGAAGAAAAUUUGCAAUGUUAAUACAUGAUGAUGUAACAUGUUCAAAUGAUUAAAAUAUGUCCUAGUGUCAUAGACAUGAUUCUAUCUCUUGUCAGUACAGAACAUUUGGUUUUGAUUUUGGAUUUUACUAAUGUUUAUUGAAUGCCUAUCAUGUGUUGGACACAUGAUAGGUUUUAAAAUCUUUAAUGAUUACUAAAUCCAUUAAAUAUAUAUUAUUUCAUUUUUUAGGUAAGAAAACUGAUAUUCAGAUAAGUUAAAUGGUGCUCAAAGACACAGAGUUAGUAAGGUAAAAGUUGGACUUGAUACUCAGGUCUGUAUGUCUGUAUGACAUCAAAAUCCAUGAUCUUUUCCUGAUAUAAUUUUUUUUGUUUUGGAGACAAGAUCUUACUUUGUCUGUCAUCCAGGCUAGAGUGCAGUGGUGCAAUCUCAGCUCACUGCAGCCUCCACAUAUGGGGCUCAAGUGUUCUUCCCACCUCAGCCUCCUGAGUAGCUGGGAUUACAGGCACAUGCCAUUAUGCCUGGCCUAAUUUUUGUAUUAUUUGUAGAGAUUGCGUCUCAUUAUGCUGCCCAGGCUGGUCCUGAACCCCUGGGCUCAAGCAAUCCACCCAGCCUAGGCCUCCCAAAGUGCUAGGAUUACAGGCAUGAGCCACCAUUCCCAGCCCCAAUUCUAGCAUUCUUAAACUAUAAUUUCUGGAUCAAAGAAGAUUAUGGAGACUUGGCUUG